rnacentral:rRNA from 1 species
AUGGCCUCAAACAAGGCGCCAAGGGCCUGGAAUUCAAAACUAGAUGCAACCUUGAGAAAUCUUGGUUUUGAAAGAUGCUCUUCUGAAUCUGGACUCUACAAAAAACAAGUGGAUCAAUCAGGUCUGAUUGUCGGUGUGUAUGUAGAUGAUCUCAUCAUAACAGGAGGUAGUGAUCGAGCCAUAGAAGAUUUCAAAAAGCAAAUGAAGUCUAAGUUCAGUAUGAGUGAUUUGGGACUGUUGAGCUACUACUUGGGGACAGAAGUGAAGCAAACAGAGGAUGCAAUCACUCUAUGUCAAUCAGCAUAUGCAGCUCGAAUCCUUGAGAGGAUGGGAAUGUCGAGAUGUAAUCCUAUACAUACACCGAUGGAAGCCAGGCUGAAGAUGAGCAAAACCGGCCAAGCAGAGGCUGUUGAUGCAACCCAAUACAGAUGUGUAGUGGGAAGUUUGAGGUACCUGAUUCAUACUCGCCCCGAUUUGAGUUACUCUGUUGGUUUUGUUAGUCGCUUCAUGGAGAAACCUACAGCAGAACACAUGAGUGUUGUGAAGCACAUUCUAAGGUAUCUGAAAGGAACAUUGAAUCUUGGAUGCUGA